GGAGAGAUGUCCGAGUGGCUGAAGGAGCACGCCUGGAAAGUGUGUAUACGUUAGUAGCGUAUCGAGGGUUCGAAUCCCUCUCUCUCCGCCA
rnacentral:tRNA from 1 species